UGGAACACAUGUUUGUGAAAUGCUCACUUGUUCCAGUAACUCCACACAGACCUGCUCUGAGGAUGGACUACACCCUCGCACAGACCUGCUCUGAGGAUGGACUACACCCUCGCACAGACCUGCUCUGAGGAUGGACUACACCCUCGCACAGACCUGCUCUGAGGAUGGACUACACCCUCGCACAGACCUGCUCUGUACAGGAUACAGGAUGGGACUGCAUGUUGUGGUUGGCGAGCAGACGGGAUGGAGCUGAUUUAGUUGUUGGAUAAACUGAUCAAUAAGGAUUGUGAUGCGUGAUUCACUGCUGGGUUGAGCAAUAUUACAAAUAAAUAAAUAAAAUCUC